rnacentral:rRNA from 1 species
CGGCACCUCAAGUGGUCAGGAUGAUUAUUGGGCCUAAAGCAUCCGUAGCCGGCGCUGUAAGUUUUCGGUUAAAUCUGUACGCUCAACGUACAGGCUGCCGGGAAUACUGCAGCGCUAGGGAGUGGGAGAGGUAGACGGUACUCGGUAGGAAGGGGUAAAAUCCUUUGAUCUAUUGAUGACCACCUGUGGCGAAGGCGGUCUACCAGAACACGUCCGACGGUGAGGGAUGAAAGCUGGGGGAGCAAACCGGAUUAGAGACCCGCGUAGUCC